rnacentral:lncRNA from 1 species
UUUAAAAUGAUAACCUCAAACUACAUCUAUUUAAUAAACCACAAAAGUUCACUUCAGACAUACAUGAACAUUGUGUCACCCAUUACACUCUAUCAUCAUUGAUCUCUGAAUCAUUUUGACCUCAAUUGAAUGUGGCUUUAUAAAGAGUUUGCUGUUUGUCUUGUGACCUCUUCCAGACUUUAUAUGUAUUUCAAGGUGCAGUUUUUGGAAGUUAAAAUAUGGAUGAAAUAAAGUUAACAGAUAAAAAUUAUGAAAAAAUUUAAUAGAAUUGUUUAAACAAAUUGUAAACAAA